rnacentral:rRNA from 1 species
GACGAACGCUGGCGGCGUGCUUAACACAUGCAAGUCGAACGGAAAGGCCCUGCUUUUGUGGGGUGCUCGAGUGGCGAACGGGUGAGUAACACGUGAGUAAGCUGCCCUUGACUUUGGGAUAACCUCAGGAAACUGGGGCUAAUACCGGGUAGGAGCUCCUGCUGCAUGGUGGGGGUUGGAAAGUUUCGGCGGUUGGGGAUGGACGCGCGGCUUAUCAGCUUGUUGGUGGGGUAGUGUCUUACCAAGGCUUUGACGGGUAGCCGGCCUGGGCGGGUAGCAUGGCCAAUGACAACUGAGAUAGGGCGCAGCCUCGAAUCGGACGAAACGGUGGAGAGUAUUAUCUAGCGGGAGGAGGCAUAACCCGACGCCGCCACGUGGGGUAAGUCAGCAAUGGGGUUGUAUAGCGAUUUCCUCUGUCACGAAGCGUGAGUGACGGUAAUGGGUGAAGAAGCACCGGCUAACUACGUG